GACGAACGCUGGCGGCGUGCCUAAUACAUGCAAGUCGAGCGAACCUUUGGGAGCUUGCUCCCAGAGAUUAGCGGCGGACGGGUGAGUAACACGUGGGCAACCUGCCCUGUAGACUGGGAUAACACCGAGAAAUCGGUGCUAAUACCGGAUAACACCUUUCUUCUCAUGGAGGAAGGUUAAAAGUUGGGAUUACUAACACUACAGGAUGGGCCCGCGGCGCAUUAGCUAGUUGGUAAGGUAAUGGCUUACCAAGGCGACGAUGCGUAGCCGACCUGAGAGGGGGAUCGGCCACACUGGGACUGAGACACGGCCCAGACUCCUACGGGAGGCAGCAGUAGGGAAUCUGCCGCAAUGGACGAAAGUCUGACGGAGCAACGCCGCGUGAGUGAUGAAUGUUUUCGGAUCGUAAAGCUCUGUUGUUAGGGAAGAACAAGUGCCGAACGAAUAGGUCGGCACCUUGACGGUACCUAACCAGAAAGCCACGGCUAACUACGUGCCAGCCGCCGCGGUAAUAC
rnacentral:rRNA from 1 species